GAAACGCACGCGGCUCACCGAGCGGCCGUUCGAGUGUAUACCUACACGACGAAUCAUUCUCAUCACCACGCGUUCACCUCUACAGACAUACUUCAUAUCUAUAGAUAUAUAUGCUUUACUCUUACUCUCUUGCUCUUUCCCCUGGUGUAAGAGUGUUCGCGACUCCCGCCGUCAACCACCACAGAUAUUUAAUACAUACAUGUACAUUAUCUUUACUUCUUCAUACAUGUCUGGCUGUCUAUCUCCUUUCUACUGACGAUCUUACUCUUACUUGCGCUUCCAUUCUGUUCUCCCUCGGCGGAUCACUCGAUUCUAUCUUCUAUGAUGUGCCAGGAGAUACACUCGAGAUAGUCCAUCAAUGCAGACAACGCCGAAAUUCAUUUCCAGAACAGAUAUUUGAUUAAUUUCAAUGUUAUCCUCUGCAUCGAUAACCUCUUGCCCGGCAAUUUUUCGUCCGUUGCCCAUUCCCAUUGCCAAUAUAUUAUUUUAUAUAUGGAUAUUUCUAUUUAGAGUGAAUUUAUACCGUCAAAUUCUGUAACUUGACGUUUAGCUAAACGUUAAAUGUUUUGUUUUGUUA